AUUGAACGCUGGCGGCAGGCCUAACACAUGCAAGUCGAACGAGUGGCGAACGGGUGAGUACUACGUGGGAACCUGCCCUCCUUUUUGGGCUAAGCCUUGGAAACGGGGUCUAAUACCGAAUAUGUGAGGGUUGGCCUCGCGCCUAUCAGCUUGGUGGUGGGGUAAUGGCUCACCUAGGCGACGAUCCCUAGCUGGUCUGAGAGGAUGAUCAGCCACACUGGGACUGAGACACGGCCCAGACUCCUACGGGAGGCAGCAGUGGGGAAUAUUGCACAAUGGGCGCAAGCCUGAUGCAGCCAUGCCGCGUGUAUGAAGAAGGCCCUAGGGUUGUAAAGUACUUUCAGUCGGGAGGCGUUACCGACAGAAGAAGCACCGGCUAACUCCGUGCCAGCAGCCGCGGUAAUUC
rnacentral:rRNA from 1 species